UGGCUGUAACAAAGGGAAGCGAAGCCGCGAGGUGGAGNAAAACCCAAAAAAAGACAGUCUCAGUUCGGAUUGAAGGCUGAAAUUCGCCUUCAUGAAGCCGGAAUUGCUAGUAAUGGCAGGUCAGCAUACUGCCGUGAAUACGUUCCCGGGCCUUGUACACACCGCCCGUCACACCAUGGGAGCCGGUAAUACCCGAAGUCAGUAGUCCAACCUCGUGAGGACGCUGCCGAAGGUAGGAUUGGCGACUGGGGUGAAGUCGUAACAAGGUACC
rnacentral:rRNA from 1 species